UGGCGCACGGGUGCGUAACGCGUAGGCAACCUACCGCUCACUGGGGUAUAGCCCGGGGAAACCCGGAUUAAUCCCCCAUAGCAAGCUAGUCUGGCAUCAGAUUAUCUUGAAAGAUUUAUUGGUGAGCGAUGGGCCUGCGUCUGAUUAGCUAGUUGGUGGGGUAACGGCUCACCAAGGCUGCGAUCAGUAGGGGACCUGAGAGGGUGAUCCCCCACACUGGUACUGAGACAGGGACCAGACUCCUACGGGAGGCAGCAGUAGGGAAUAUUGGGCAAUGGUGGACACACUGACCCAGCCAUGCCGCGUGCCGGAAGACGGCCCUCUGGGUUGUAAACGGCUUUUAGUCGGGAAGAAACGAUUCCUUGCGAGGGAUUUUGACGGUACCGACAGAAUCAGCACCGGCUAACUCCGUGCCAGCAGCCGCGGUAAUACGGAGGGUGCGAGCGUUGUCCGGAUUUAUUGGGUUUAAAGGGUGCGUAAGCGGGAAGAUAAGUCAGGGGUGAAAGACGGCUGCUCAACAGUCGCAGUGCCCUUGAUAC
rnacentral:rRNA from 1 species